AACGAACGCUGGCGGCAUGCCUAACACAUGCAAGUCGAACGAGAUGCCUUCGGGUGUCUAGUGGCGCACGGGUGCGUAACGCGUGGGAAUCUGCCCUGGGGUUCGGGAUAACCGUUGGAAACGACGGCUAAUACCGGAUGAUGAUGAAAAUCCAAAGAUUUAUCGCCCUGGGAUGAGCCCGCGUCGGAUUAGCUAGUUGGUGGGGUAAAGGCCUACCAAGGCGACGAUCCGUAGCUGGUCUGAGAGGAUGAUCAGCCACACUGGGACUGAGACACGGCCCAGACUCCUACGGGAGGCAGCAGUGGGGAAUAUUGGACAAUGGGCGCAAGCCUGAUCCAGCAAUGCCGCGUGAGUGAUGAAGGCCUUAGGGUUGUAAAGCUCUUUUACCCGGGAUGAUAAUGACAGUACCGGGAGAAUAAGCCCCGGCUAACUCCGUGCCAGCAGCCGCGGUAA
rnacentral:rRNA from 1 species